UACGUAGGGUGCAAGCGUUGUCCGGAAUUAUUGGGCGUAAAGAGCUCGUAGGCGGUCUGUCGCGUCUGCUGUGAAAACUCAGGGCUUAACCCUGAGCUUGCAGUGGGUACGGGCAGGCUAGAGUGCGGUAGGGGAGACUGGAAUUCCUGGUGUAGCGGUGAAAUGCGCAGAUAUCAGGAGGAACACCGGUGGCGAAGGCGGGUCUCUGGGCCGUAACUGACGCUGAGGAGCGAAAGCAUGGGGAGCGAACAGG
rnacentral:rRNA from 1 species